rnacentral:rRNA from 1 species
GACGAACGCUGGCGGCGUGCUUAACACAUGCAAGUCGAACGGAAAGGCCCUGCUUUUGUGGGGUGCUCGAGUGGCGAACGGGUGAGUAACACGUGAGUAACCUGCCCUUUACUUUGGGAUAACUUCAGGAAACUGCGGCUACUACCUGCUAGGAGCUCCUGCUGCAUGGUGGGGGUUGGACAGUUUCGGCGGUUGGGGAUGGACUCCCGGCUUAUCAGCUUGUUGGUGGGGUAGUGGCUUACCAAGGGAUUGGCGGGUAGUCGGCCUGAGAGGGUGACCGGCCACAUUGGGACUGAGGGACGGCGCAGACUCCUACGGGGGGCAGCGGUGGGGAGUAUUGCACAGUGAGCGGAAGCCUGGUGCAGAGGCGCCGGGUGCGGAAUGACGGCCUUCGGGUGAUAAACCGCUUUCGCCUGUGACGAAGCGUGAGUGACGGUAAUGGGUGAAGAAGCACCGGCUAACUACGUG